rnacentral:rRNA from 1 species
UACAGAGGUCUCAAGCGUUGUUCGGAUUCAUUGGGCGUCAAGGGUGCGUCGGCGGCGCGGUAAGUCGGGUGUGAAAUCUCGGAGCUUAACUCCGAAACUGCAUUCGAUACUGCCGUGCUUGAGGACUGGAGAGGAGACUGGAAUUUACGGUGUAGCGGUGAAAUGCGUAGAUAUCGUAAGGAAGACCAGUGGCGAAGGCGGGUCUCUGGACAGUUCCUGACGCUGAGGCACGAAGGUCAGGGGAGCAAACGGG